CGAAGUCGGACGGCGGUACCCGGGGAUUGGGGGCUUGGCCUUGAUUCGGUCAGCGGGCGGACGGGUGAGUAACGACGUGGCAACCUGCCCGCAAGACCGGGAGUAACUCCGGGAAACCGGAGCUAAUACCGGAUAACACCGAAGGCCGCAUGGUCUUCGGUUGAAAGGCGGCCUUUGGGCUGUCACUUGCGGAUGGGCCCGCGGCGCAUUAGCUAGUUGGUGAGGUAACGGCUCACCAAGGCGACGAUGCGUAGCCGGCCUGAGAGGGUGACCGGCCACACUGGGACUGAGACACGGCCCAGACUCCUACGGGAGGCAGCAGUAGGGAAUCUUCCGCAAUGGGCGAAAGCCUGACGGAGCGACGCCGCGUGAGCGAAGAAGGCCUUCGGGUCGUAAAGCUCUGUUGUGAGGGACGAAGGAGCGCCGUUCGAAGAGGGCGGCGCGGUGACGGUACCUCACGAGAAAGCCCCGGCUAACGACGUG
rnacentral:rRNA from 1 species